rnacentral:rRNA from 1 species
UACAGAGGGUGCAAGCGUUGUUCGGAAUUAUUGGGCGUAAAGGGUGUGUAGGCGGUCUUUUAAGUCUUCUGUGAAAUCUACGGGCUUAGCCUGUAACGUGCAGAGGAAACUGGAAGGCUUGAGUGUCGGAGAGGAUAGGGGAAUACCCAGUGUAGAGGUGAAAUUCGUAGAGAUUGGGUGGAACACCAGUGGCGAAGGCGCCUAUCUGGCUGACAACUGACGCUGAGACUCGAAAGCAUGGGGAGCAAACAGG